GGUUUUGGAUGGACUCGCGGCCUAUCAGCUUGUUGGUGAGGUAAUGGCUCACCAAGGCGACGACGGGUAGCCGGCCUGAGAGGGUGACCGGCCACACUGGGACUGAGACACGGCCCAGACUCCUACGGGAGGCAGCAGUGGGGAAUAUUGCACAAUGGGCGAAAGCCUGAUGCAGCGACGCCGCGUGAGGGAUGACGGCCUUCGGGUUGUAAACCUCUUUCAGUAGGGAAGAAGCGAAAGUGACGGUACCUGCAGAAGAAGCGCCGGCUAACUACGUGCCAGCAGCCGCGGUAAUACGUAGGGCGCAAGCGUUAUCCGGAAUUAUUGGGCGUAAAGAGCUCGUAGGCGGUUUGUCGCGUCUGCCGUGAAAGUCCGGGGCUCAACCCCGGAUCUGCGGUGGGUACGGGCAGACUAGAGUGAUGUAGGGGAGACUGGAAUUCCUGGUGUAGCGGUGAAAUGCGCAGAUAUCAGGAGGAACACCGAUGGCGAAGGCAGGUCUCUGGGCAUUAACUGACGCUGAGGAGCGAAAGCAUGGGGAGCGAACAGGAUUAGAUACCCUGGUAGUCCAUGCCGUAAACGUUGGGCACUAGGUGUG
rnacentral:rRNA from 1 species